rnacentral:rRNA from 1 species
UACGAGGGGGGCAAGUGUUGUUCGGAUUUACUGGGUGUAAAGGGAGCGCAGGUGGCUUGGCAAGUCAGGGGUGAAAUGCCCGUGCUUAACGCGGGAAUUGCCUUUGAAACUGCCAAGCUUGAGUGUUGGAGAGGGUAAUGGAAUUCCAGGUGUAGCGGUGGAAUGCGUAGAUAUCUGGAAGAACACCAGUUGCGAAGGCGGUUACCUGGCCAAACACUGACGCUCAGGCUCGAAAGCCGGGGGAGCAAACAGG